GCCUGAGUGGUGGAAUUGGUAGACACGAGGGACUUAAAAUCCCUUGGCCUUUAAAGCCGUGCCGGUUCGAGCCCGGCCUCGGGUA
rnacentral:tRNA from 1 species